CCUACGUGAGGCAGCAGUAGGGAAUCUUCCACAAUGGGCGAAAGCCUGAUGGAGCAACGCCGCGUGGGUGAAGAAGGUCUUCGGAUCGUAAAACCCUGUUGUUAGAGAAGAAAGUGCGUGAGAGUAACUGUUCACGUUUCGACGGUAUCUAACCAGAAAGCCACGGCUAACUACGUGCCAGCAGCCGCGGUAAUACGUAGGUGGCAAGCGUUAUCCGGAUUUAUUGGGCGUAAAGGGAACGCAGGCGGUCUUUUAAGUCUGAUGUGAAAGCCUUCGGCUUAACCGGAGUAGUGCAUUGGAAACUGGGAGACUUGAGUGCAGAAGAGGAGAGUGGAGCUCCAUGUGUAGCGGUGAAAUGCGUAGAUAUAUGGAAGAACACCAGUGGCGAAAGCGGCUCUCUGGUCUGUAACUGACGCUGAGGUUCGAAAGCGUGGGUAGCAAACAGGAUUAGAUACCCCAGUAGUC
rnacentral:rRNA from 1 species